GUCUCUGCGACUGGAUGUCUGGCUAUGAAGCCGAAGACUUUGGGCGAAGACGGCAGGACGGCGCAGAAGGAGAUGGUGGACAGAGGACACGUGAACAGGAGGAACUGAGGACGGGAGACGACGAGAAGUCUAUGAGCUAAUUGCUGUGGAGAGAAAUGGAGACAGAGUGAACAUGCGCGACACAAAUGACGGCAGCUGUUUGUGGAUAUAAAGUGACUCCUCCCCUUCCACCUUUCCUCCCUGCUGAGGUGGAUUCAGCUGUUCCACUUUGACACUGUGAUACAAUGACAGUAAAUACAGGCUGUGCACCUUCCUAACCUUAAAUAAGCAGCACUAGG